AUGAACGCUGGCGGCGUGCCUAAUACAUGCAAGUCGAGCGAACGGACGAGAAGCUUGCUUCUCUGAUGUUAGCGGCGGACGGGUGGGUAACACGUGGAUAACCUACCUAUAAGACUGGGAUAACUUCGGGAAACCGGAGCUAAUACCGGAUAAUAUUUUGAACCGCAUGGUUCAAAAGUGAAAGACGGUCUUGCUGUCACUUAUAGAUGGAUCCGCGCUGCAUUAGCUAGUUGGUAAGGUAACGGCUUACCAAGGCAACGAUGCAUAGCCGACCUGAGAGGGUGAUCGGCCACACUGGAACUGAGACACGGUCCAGACUCCUACGGGAGGCAGCAGUAGGGAAUCUUCCGCAAUGGGCGAAAGCCUGACGGAGCAACGCCGCGUGAGUGAUGAAGGUCUUCGGAUCGUAAAACUCUGUUAUUAGGGAAGAACAUAUGUGUAAGUAACUGUGCACAUCUUGACGGUACCUAAUCAGAAAGCCACGGCUAACUACGUG
rnacentral:rRNA from 1 species